AGAGUUUGAUCCUGGCUCAGGAUGAACGCUAGCGGCAGGCCUAAUACAUGCAAGUCGAACGCUCAGUAGCAAUACUGGGAGUGGCGCACGGGUGCGUAACGCGUACACAAUCUACCUCUAAGCGGGGGACACCUCCUGGAAACGGGGAUUAAUACCGCAUAAUAUGCCGAGGUCGCAUGACUUUGGUAUUAAAGCAGCAAUGCACUUAGAGAUGAGUGUGCGUCCCAUUAGGUAGUUGGUGAGGUAACGGCUCACCAAGCCUAUGAUGGGUAGCCGGUCUGAGAGGAUGGUCGGCCACACGGGCACUGAGACACGGGCCCGACUCCUACGGGAGGCAGCAGUAAGGAAUAUUGGUCAAUGGUGGAAACACUGAACCAGCCAUGCCGCGUGGAGGAAUAAGGUCCUACGGAUUGUAAACUCCUUUGACGAGGAAGAAAGUGUUAGAUUUAUCUAAUUUUGACGGUACUCGUAGAAUAAGCACCGGUUAACUCCGUG
rnacentral:rRNA from 1 species